rnacentral:rRNA from 1 species
UGGGAACGUGCCUUUUGGUUCGGAACAACCCAGGGAAACUUGUGCUAAUACCGGAUAAGCCCUUACGGGGAAAGAUUUAUCGCCAAAAGAUCGGCCCGCGUCUGAUUAGCUAGUUGGUGGGGUAAUGGCCCACCAAGGCGACGAUCAGUAGCUGGUCUGAGAGGAUGAUCAGCCACAUUGGGACUGAGACACGGCCCAAACUCCUACGGGAGGCAG